UAGGUAGUCCAUAUGGCUAGCUGGGCUUCUAACCCAGUGAUGGGCGCUGAUUACGUCCCUACCUAU
rnacentral:tRNA from 1 species